GCCAGUGUGGUUUAGUGGUUUGAGUCCUGGACUAGGACCUCAGGAGACCAGGGUUCAAACCCUUGCUUAUCCA